rnacentral:rRNA from 1 species
ACUGCUCAGUAACACGUAGUCAACCUGCCCUUUGGUCGAGACCAAUCUCGGGAAACUGAGGCUAAUGCUCGAUAGAUCAAGAUUCCUGGAAUGGGUUUUGGUCUAAAUGGAGUAGCAGCAUCUUGCUAUUUUCGCCAAAGGAUGGGACUGCGGCCGAUCAGGCUGUUGGUGGGGUAAAGGCCCACCAAACCAGUAACCGGUACGGGCUUUGAGAGAAGGAGCCCGGAGAUGGACACUGAGACAAGGGUCCAGGUCCUACGGGGCGCAGCAGGCGCGAAACCUUCGCAAUGCGCGAAAGCGCGACGAGGUUAUUCCGAGUGAUUUCCGCUGAGGAAAUCUUUUCUUAGAUCUAAAAAGUCUGGGGAAUAAGGGGAGGGCAAGUCUGGUGUCAGCCGCCGCGGUGAUACCAGCUCCUCGAGUGGUCAGGGCGUUUAUUGGGCCUAAAGCAUCCGUAGCCUGCUCAGUAGGUCUCCUGUUAAAUCCAACGGCUCAACCGUUGGUCUGCAGGAGAUACCGCUGGGCUAGGAGGCGGGAGAGGCGGACGGUACUCCGAGGGUAGGGGUAAAAUCCUUUGAUCCCCGGAAGACCACCAGUGGCGAAGGCGGUCCGCCAGAACGCGCUCGACGGUGAGGGAUGAAAACUGGGGGAGCGAACCGGAUUAGAUACCCGGGUAGUCCCAGCUGUAAACGAUGCGAGCUAGGUGACACGACGCCUUCGGGGCAUCGUGGUGCCGCAGGGAAGCCGUUAAGCUCGCCGCCUGGGGAGUACGGACGCAAGUCUGAAACUUAAAGGAAUUGGCGGGGGAGCAC